CGGUAACAUUUCUAGCUUGCUAGAAGAUGACGAGUGGCGGACGGGUGAGUAAUGCUUGGGAACUUGCCUUUGCGAGGGGGAUAACAGUUGGAAACGACUGCUAAUACCGCAUAAUGUCUUCGGACCAAACGGGGCUUCGGCUCCGGCGCAAAGAGAGGCCCAAGUGAGAUUAGCUAGUUGGUAAGGUAACGGCUUACCAAGGCGACGAUCUCUAGCUGUUCUGAGAGGAAGAUCAGCCACACUGGGACUGAGACACGGCCCAGACUCCUACGGGAGGCAGCAGUGGGGAAUAUUGCACAAUGGGGGAAACCCUGAUGCAGCCAUGCCGCGUGUGUGAAGAAGGCCUUCGGGUUGUAAAGCACUUUCAGUUGUGAGGAAAAGUUAGUAGUUAAUACCUGCUAGCCGUGACGUUAACAACAGAAGAAGCACCGGCUAACUCCGUGCCAGCAGCCGCGGUAAUACGGAGGGUGCGAGCGUUAAUCGGAAUUACUGGGCGUAAAGCGCACGCAGGCGGUUUGUUAAGCUAGAUGUGAAAGCCCCGGGCUCAACCUGGGAUGGUCAUUUAGAACUGGCAGACUAGAGUCUUGGAGAGGGGAGUGGAAUUCCAGGUGUAGCGGUGAAAUGCGUAGAUAUCUGGAGGAACAUCAGUGGCGAAGGCGACUCCCUGGCCAAAGACUGACGCUCAUGUGCGAAAGUGUGGGUAGCGAACAGGAUUAGAUACCCUGGUAGUCCACACCGUAAACGCUGUCUACUAGCUGUGUGUGCCUUUAAGGCGUGCGUAGCGAAGCUAACGCGCUAAGUAGACCGCCUGGGGAGUACGGCCGCAAGGUUAAAACUCAAAUGAAUUGACGGGGGCCCGCACAAGCGGUGGAGCAUGUGGUUUAAUUCGAUGCAACGCGAAGAACCUUACCUACACUUGACAUGCUGAGAAGUUACUAGAGAUAGUUUCGUGCC
rnacentral:rRNA from 1 species